rnacentral:rRNA from 1 species
ACGGGCUGACGCCUGCCCGGUGCUGGACGGUUAAGGGGAUCUGUUAGAUCAAUCGAAGCAGUGAACUUAAGCCCAAGUAAACGCCGGCCGUAACGAGACCGGGCGUAAAGUAGGGAAAGACCUUGUCGGGCAAGAUCCGACGCGCACGAAAGGCGUAACGAUUUGGGCACGGUCUCAACAACAGACACGGUGAAAGUGUAAUUCCGGUGAAGAUGCCGGAGACCUGCGACAGGACGGAAAGACCCCAGGGAGCUUUACUGUAGCUUGACAUUGGGUCUUGGUACUACAUGUCCAGGAUAGGUGGGAGGCUUUGAAACCAGUACGCCAGUUUUGGCGUAGCCAUCCUUGGGAUACCACCCUGGUAGUACUGGGACUAGAACCAUCGGCCAUGAAUCUGGUCGUGGGACACUGUCAGGUGGGCAGUUGGACUGGGGCUGUCGCCUCCCAAAAGGUAACGGA